AAAAUAUCACCGAGUCUGUGGGGAAUUUUAGGUCAACACCAUAAAUAUGGGAGACAACCCUACAGGGAAACAAACUGCUCAGGAACCAAGAGGAAACUCUGACUGGGGAGCAAGUCAGCUGGCGAUUGGCGGGGAAACCAAUGCGAUCUACUGAGGAGAUCCACCACUUCUGCUAAAGGAAAAAAAAAGUCCACCGGGGAAGGAAAAAAC
rnacentral:lncRNA from 1 species